CCUCACGGCAUCCCUCUGCCUCUUUUCCCACUCCUCUCCAAUAUUUCAGUAUCUCUUUUAAGCUACCGGAGCCUGUUAACACGGAAAGUGGGCUCACCAGUGCCACACACCGAGGCAGUACCGCCAGCCUGCGCGGCCGCCAGCAUCCCCUGCGGAUCCGGGGAGCCCGCGGCGCCGGCAGCGCUGGCCCCGGCCCCCCAGUCUCACACGGUCCCGCGACGGGCGCGGCUGCGGCCGGUGCCCGGUGGCACGGCGGGGGCCGAGAGGGCGGCUGUGGGCGAUGGCUCUUGCCCCGGAGGUUUGGAUUUUAACUUCUCCGGGCAGGCUGCUCACCGAAGAGGGAUGGAUGCGGUUCAGCGUCUCGCAGGACACGCUCCCAGAGCCUCCCACACAGAUUCCCCGUCUCUUGGAAAGAACCCACGAUGAAUGUCCCUGUUUUAUCUGUUGCCGGUGACUUCAUGUGCCAGAAGGACACAGGCGGAGGAAGGAUAGUGUCACGGCCGGACCCAAUGCGCGCAGUGGGCAGCGGCUGUAAAAUACAUUCCUGAUGUUAAAAUGACAGCCUGGCUUGCACCGCACUGCAAAAUGGAUGGGUACAUUCAGGGACAACGUUGCAUCCUUCAUUUUUCAAGCCAUGUGGAAUUACUAACAUAUGUGAAAAUAACGUUUACUAGCCUAUGUGAAAAUUACCAUUUAUUUUGUGCUUUGAGAUGCUCCGGUCCCUCCCCGAUACCGAACA
rnacentral:lncRNA from 1 species